rnacentral:rRNA from 1 species
UAGGGAAUCUUCGGCAAUGGGGGCAACCCUGACCGAGCAACGCCGCGUGAGUGAAGAAGGUUUUCGGAUCGUAAAGCUCUGUUGUAAGAGAAGAACGUGUGUGAGAGUGGAAAGUUCACACAGUGACGGUAACUUACCAGAAAGGGACGGCUAACUACGUGCCAGCAGCCGCGGUAAUACGUAGGUCCCGAGCGUUGUCCGGAUUUAUUGGGCGUAAAGCGAGCGCAGGCGGUUUAAUAAGUCUGAAGUUAAAGGCAGUGGCUUAACCAUUGUUCGCUUUGGAAACUGUUAAACUUGAGUGCAGAAGGGGAGAGUGGAAUUCCAUGUGUAGCGGUGAAAUGCGUAGAUAUAUGGAGGAACACCGGUGGCGAAAGCGGCUCUCUGGUCUGUAACUGACGCUGAGGCUCGAGAGCGUGGGGAGCAAACAGG